GAAACGCAUGCUAAUACCGCAUACGCCCUACGGGGGAAAGGAGGGGAUCUUAGGACCUUUCGCUAUUAGAUGAGCCUGCGUAAGAUUAGCUAGUUGGUGGGGUAAAGGCUCACCAAGGCGACGAUCUCUAGCUGGUCUGAGAGGAUGAUCAGCCACACUGGGACUGAGACACGGCCCAGACUCCUACGGGAGGCAGCAGUGGGGAAUAUUGGACAAUGGGCGCAAGCCUGAUCCAGCCAUGCCGCGUGUGUGAAGAAGGCCUUAGGGUUGUAAAGCACUUUCAGAGGUGAGGAAGGGUGUGUGAUUAAUACUCACAUAUUUUGACGUUAGCCUCAGAAGAAGCACCGGCUAACUCUGUGCCAGCAGCCGCGGUAAUACAGAGGGUGCAAGCGUUAAUCGGAAUUACUGGGCGUAAAGCGCGCGUAAGUGGUUUGUUAAGUCGGAUGUGAAA
rnacentral:rRNA from 1 species